rnacentral:rRNA from 1 species
UUGGAGGGCAAGUCUGGUGCCAGCAGCCGCGGUAAUUCCAGCUCCAAUAGCGUAUAUUAAAGUUGUUGCAGUUAAAAAGCUCGUAGUUGAAAUUCGAAAUUUGUCCUAUGGUCGGGCUUUACGGUCCGUACAGUAGUGGCGAAUUUCUACCUUCUGAAGAACCUUCAUGUCAUUAAUUUGGUGUGUUGGGAAAUCAGGACUGUUACUUUGAAAAAAUUAGAGUGUUUAAAGCAGGCUUGAGUCUGAAUACAUUAGCAUGGAAUAAUGAAAUAGGACGGAUUGGUUCUAUUUUGUUGGUUUCUAGGAUCACCGUAAUGAUUAAUAGGGAUAGUUGGGGGCAUUAGUAUUCAAUUGUCAGAGGUGAAAUUCUUGGAUUUAUUGAAGACUAACUUCUGCGAAAGCAUUUGCCAAGGAUGUUUUCAUUAAUCAAGAACGAAAGUUAGGGGAUCGAAGACGAUCAGAUACCGUCGUAGUCUUAACCAUAAACUAUGCCGACUAGGGAUCGGACGAAGUUAAUUUUUAGAUGACUCGUUCGGCGCCUUACGGGAAAC